GACGAACGCUGGCGGCGUGCUUAACACAUGCAAGUCGAACGGAAAGGCCCUGCGUUUGUGUCGUGCUCGAGACGCGAGAGUGUCAGUAACACGUGAGUAACCUGCCCUUGACUUUGCGCUCACUUCCGGGAACUGAUACUAAAACCUGAUUCGAGCUCCUACUGCAUGGUUGGGAAUGGAAAUUUUCGGCGGUUGUGGAUGGACUCGCGGCUUAUCAGCUUGUUGGUGGGGUAUUGGCUUACCAAGGCUUUGACGGGUAGCCGGCCUGAGAGGGUGACCGGCCACAUUGGGACUGAGAUACGGCCCAGACUCCUACGGGAGGCAGCAGUGGGGAAUAUUGCACAAUGGGCGGAAGCCUGAUGCAGCAACGCCGCGUGCGGGAUGACGGCCUUCGGGUUGUAAACCGCUUUCGCCUGUGACGAAGCGUGAGUGACGGUAAUGGGUAAAGAAGCGCCGGCUAACUACGUG
rnacentral:rRNA from 1 species